rnacentral:rRNA from 1 species
UACGUAGGGGGCAAGCGUUGUCCGGAAUCAUUGGGCGUAAAGCGCGUGUAGGCGGCUCGGUAAGUCUGCUCUGAAAGUCCAAGGCUCAACCUUGGGAUGCGGGUGGAUACUGCCGAGCUCGAGUCCGGAAGAGGCGAGUGGAAUUCCUGGUGUAGCGGUGAAAUGCGUAGAGAUCGGGAGGAACACCAGUGGCGAAGGCGGCUACCUGGACCAGCACUGACACUGAGGCACGAAAGCGUGGGGAGCAAACAGG